AACGGGGGGCUCUAGUGUUUUCAUGAUGACUGGGCGUAAAGGGAACGUAGGUGAUUAAAGAGCUCUAAGUAAAAGACUGAGGGUGGCCCUCUUUAUAUCUUAGUUUUACUUUUUAAUUUGGAUUUGUGAGGCGGAAUUAGAAUCGAGGAGUAAAGGUGAAAUUUGUUGAUAACGAGAGGACUUUCGAAGGCGAAAGCGUAGACCGAUCACAUCUUGACACUAAGGUUCGACAGCGCGGGGAUCAAACAGG
rnacentral:rRNA from 1 species